CCGCAUAAGCGCACGAGGAGACAUCUCCUUGUGUGAAGAACUCCGGUGGUACAGGAUGGGCCCGCGUCUGAUUAGCUGGUUGGCAGGGUAACGGCCUACCAAGGCAACGAUCAGUAGCCGGUCUGAGAGGAUGAACGGCCACAUUGGAACUGAGACACGGUCCAAACUCCUACGGGAGGCAGCAGUGGGGAAUAUUGCACAAUGGGGGAAACCCUGAUGUAGCAACGCCGCGUGAGUGAAGAAGUAUUUCGGUAUGUAAAGCUCUAUCAGCAGGGAAGAUAAUGACGGUACCUGACUAAGAAGCUCCGGCUAAAUACGUGCCAGCAGCCGCGGUAAUACGUAUGGAGCAAGCGUUAUCCGGAUUUACUGGGUGUAAAGGGUGCGUAGGUGGCAGUGCAAGUCAGAUGUGAAAGGCCGGGGCUCAACCCCGGAGCUGCAUUUGAAACUGCUCGGCUAGAGUACAGGAGAGGCAGGCGGAAUUCCUAGUGUAGCGGUGAAAUGCGUAGAUAUUAGGAGGAACACCAGUGGCGAAGGCGGCCUGCUGGACUGUUACUGACACUGAGGCACGAAAGCGUGGGGAGCAAACAGGAUUAGAUACCCUGGUAGUCCACGCCGU
rnacentral:rRNA from 1 species